AGAGUUUGAUUAUGGCUCAGGAUGAACGCUGGCGGCGUGCUUAAUACAUGCAAGUCGAACGAAGACAUCUCGCCGAAGCUUGCUUCAUUGAGAUAUCUUAGUGGCGGACGGGUGAGUAACGCGUGGGUAACCUGCCUUACACAGGGGGAUAACAGUUAGAAAUGACUGCUAAUACCGCAUAAGCGCACAUUAUCGCAUGAUAGAGUGUGAAAAGAUUUAUCGGUGUAAGAUGGACCCGCGUCUGAUUAGCUAGUUGGUGAGGUAACGGCCCACCAAGGCGACGAUCAGUAGCCGGCCUGAGAGGGUGAACGGCCACAUUGGGACUGAGACACGGCCCAAACUCCUACGGGAGGCAGCAGUAGGGAAUAUUGGACAAUGGGGGAAACCCUGAUCCCAGCGACGCCGCGUGAGUGAAGAAGUAUUUCGGUACGUAAAGCUCUAUCAGCAGGGAAGAAAAUGACGGUACCUGACUAAGAAGCACCGGCUAAAUACGUGCCAGCCGCCGC
rnacentral:rRNA from 1 species